AUGACAGCCAUUGGAGACUGAGGUCUCUGUUUAUCCACAGAACAGGUGUAGCACAACAUCAGCUUUUUCCUACAGUGCCCUUGUCCCUGACUUGGCGGGAUCACCUUAGUCUAUAUGAAUUUCUCCUUGCUAAAUAUACCUAAGGUGUU
ensembl:misc_RNA